AUUUGUAGUUGUUCAUUAGAGGCAGCCGUGGAAUAGGAUCCACGGGUCCCCUCUCGUUUCAUACGCUGAAGGUUACUUACGGCGCUUUCAAAAAGCCAGAGCACAUGUAAAAAGGGCAGUGUUGCCAGCCGUGGUGACACACACUUGUCAUCCCAGCUACUUAGGAAGCUGAGGCAAGAGGAUUGCCAUGCAAAAGAUCAAGACCAUAAAAUGGGGACAACAUGCAAGGGAAACUGAAUUGACGUGUAUGUGUGUGCAGAGUUUACGAGUGACAAGCUGGGAGUAGCCAGGCAUCCUUGUUAGAACCAACCCAGAACUGAAUCCAAGACUGAGUACUUAAUAAGUGACUAAUAGCAGAAAUAAUCAUAAUUAUAAUCAUACAUCCAAGAGAGGGAAGGGCUGACCAUGAGCAUUUAGUUCAAUUAUUUUGACUAGACCUAUGUAGGUAGUGAUUAUUUCAACAAUGAAGAUGAACACCAGUAAUUGUCAAGACUGGCUGACGUUUCUGUGGCCAUACCCAGUUGAGUGAGAUCAUUAUUCUAAUCCUCUUCACACAAUUGGAUAACCUGGAUAAAAUUCAACUUGUGUGAGAAGUCAGUACAUUUUUAAGCCUUAUUAUUUUGUGGUGGUACUGGUGAUUGAACCCAGGGCCUCUCCAAUGGUAGACAAGUGCUCUACCACUGAACUGCAUCCCUGCCCCUUUCA
rnacentral:lncRNA from 1 species